rnacentral:rRNA from 1 species
AUUGAACGCUGGCGGCAGGCCUAACACAUGCACGUCGAGCGGAGCGGCGGACGGGUGAGUAAUGCCUAGGCAUCUGCCUGGUAGUGGGGGAUAACGUCCGGAAACGGGCGCUAAUCCCGCAUCCUCUCAGAUGAGCCUAGGUCGGAUUAGCUAGUUGGUGGGGUAAAGGCCUACAAAGGCGACGAUCCGUAACUGGUCUGAGAGGAUGACCAGCCACACUGGAACUGAGACACGGUCCAGAUUCCUACGGGAGGCAGCAGUGGGGAAUAUGGCACAAUGGGCGCAAGCCUGAUGCAGCCAUGCCGCGUGUAUGAAGAAGGCCGUCGGGUUGUAAAGUACGUUAAGCGGGGAGGCGUUACCCGCAGAAGAAGCACCGGCUAACUCCGUGCCAGCAGCCGCGGUAAUAC